UACGGAGGGUGCGAGCGUUGUCCGGAUUCAUUGGGUUUAAAGGGAGCGUAGGUGGCCUUGUAAGUCAGUGGUGAAAUCCUGUCGCUUAACGAUAGAAUUGCCAUUGAUACUGCAGGGCUUGAGUACAGUUGCCGUUGGCGGAAUAUGACAUGUAGUGGUGAAAUACAUAGAUAUGUCAUAGAACACCGAUUGCGAAGGCAGCUGACGAAACUGUAACUGACACUGAGGCUCGAAAGUGUGGGGAUCAAACAGG
rnacentral:rRNA from 1 species